GCCUACGGGAGGCAGCAGUGAGGAAUAUUGGUCAAUGGCCGAGAGGCUGAACCAGCCAAGUCGCGUGAGGGAUGACGGCCCUACGGGUUGUAAACCUCUUUUGUCGGGGAGCAAGACCCGCCUCGUGCACGCGGAGCGAGAGUACCCGAAGAAAAAGCAUCGGCUAACUCCGUGCCAGCAGCCGCGGUAAUACGGAGGAUGCGAGCGUUAUCCGGAUUUAUUGGGUUUAAAGGGUGCGCAGGCGGACCAUCAAGUCAGCCGUAAAAUCGUUUGGCCCAACCCCCUCCCGCCGUUCAAACUGGCGG
rnacentral:rRNA from 1 species